rnacentral:rRNA from 1 species
AUUGAACGCUGGCGGCAGGCUUAACACAUGCAAGUCGAGCGAGCGGCGGACGUGUGAGUAAUGUCUGGGAAACUGCCUUAUGGAGGGGGAUACCUCCUGGAAACGGUAGCUAAUACCGCAUACCAUCAGAUGUUCCCAGAUGGGAGUAGCUAGUAGGUGGGGUAAUGGCUCACCUAGGCGACGAUCCCUAGCUGGUCUGAGAGGAUGACCGGCCACACGGGAACUGAGACACGGUCCAGACUCCUACGGGAGGCAGCAGUGGGGAAUAUUGCACAAGGGGCGCAAGCCUGAUGGAGCCAUGCCGCGUGUGUGAAGAAGGCCUUCGGGUUGUAAAGCACUGUCAGCGAGGAGGCGUUACUCGAAGAAGAAGCACCGGCUAACUCCGUGCCAGCAGCCGCGGUAAUUC